GGUUAAGCGACUAAGCGUACACGGUGGAUGCCCUGGCAGUCAGAGGCGAUGAAGGACGUGCUAAUCUGCGAUAAGCGUCGGUAAGGUGAUAUGAACCGUUAUAACCGGCGAUUUCCGAAUGGGGAAACCCAGUGUGUUUCGACACACUAUCAUUAACUGAAUCCAUAGGUUAAUGAGGCGAACCGGGGGAACUGAAACAUCUAAGUACCCCGAGGAAAAGAAAUCAACCGAGAUUCCCCCAGUAGCGGCGAGCGAACGGGGAGCAGCCCAGAGCCUGAAUCAGUGUGUGUGUUAGUGGAAGCGUCUGGAAAGGCGCGCGAUACAGGGUGACAGCCCCGUACACAAAAAUGCACAUGCUGUGAGCUCGAUGAGUAGGGCGGGACACGUGGUAUCCUGUCUGAAUAUGGGGGGACCAUCCUCCAAGGCUAAAUACUCCUGACUGACCGAUAGUGAACCAGUACCGUGAGGGAAAGGCGAAAAGAACCCCGGCGAGGGGAGUGAAAAAGAACCUGAAACCGUGUACGUACAAGCAGUGGGAGCACGCUUAGGCGUGUGACUGCGUACCUUUUGUAUAAUGGGUCAGCGACUUAUAUUCUGUAGCAAGGUUAACCGAAUAGGGGAGCCGAAGGGAAACCGAGUCUUAACUGGGCGUUAAGUUGCAGGGUAUAGACCCGAAACCCGGUGAUCUAGCCAUGGGCAGGUUGAAGGUUGGGUAACACUAACUGGAGGACCGAACCGACUAAUGUUGAAAAAUUAGCGGAUGACUUGUGGCUGGGGGUGAAAGGCCAAUCAAACCGGGAGAUAGCUGGUUCUCCCCGAAAGCUAUUUAGGUAGCGCCUCGUGAAUUCAUCUCCGGGGGUAGAGCACUGUUUCGGCAAGGGGGUCAUCCCGACUUACCAACCCGAUGCAAACUGCGAAUACCGGAGAAUGUUAUCACGGGAGACACACGGCGGGUGCUAACGUCCGUCGUGAAGAGGGAAACAACCCAGACCGCCAGCUAAGGUCCCAAAGUCAUGGUUAAGUGGGAAACGAUGUGGGAAGGCCCAGACAGCCAGGAUGUUGGCUUAGAAGCAGCCAUCAUUUAAAGAAAGCGUAAUAGCUCACUGGUCGAGUCGGCCUGCGCGGAAGAUGUAACGGGGCUAAACCAUGCACCGAAGCUGCGGCAGCGACGCUUAUGCGUUGUUGGGUAGGGGAGCGUUCUGUAAGCCUGCGAAGGUGUGCUGUGAGGCAUGCUGGAGGUAUCAGAAGUGCGAAUGCUGACAUAAGUAACGAUAAAGCGGGUGAAAAGCCCGCUCGCCGGAAGACCAAGGGUUCCUGUCCAACGUUAAUCGGGGCAGGGUGAGUCGACCCCUAAGGCGAGGCCGAAAGGCGUAGUCGAUGGGAAACAGGUUAAUAUUCCUGUACUUGGUGUUACUGCGAAGGGGGGACGGAGAAGGCUAUGUUGGCCGGGCGACGGUUGUCCCGGUUUAAGCGUGUAGGCUGGUUUUCCAGGCAAAUCCGGAAAAUCAAGGCUGAGGCGUGAUGACGAGGCACUACGGUGCUGAAGCAACAAAUGCCCUGCUUCCAGGAAAAGCCUCUAAGCAUCAGGUAACAUCAAAUCGUACCCCAAACCGACACAGGUGGUCAGGUAGAGAAUACCAAGGCGCUUGAGAGAACUCGGGUGAAGGAACUAGGCAAAAUGGUGCCGUAACUUCGGGAGAAGGCACGCUGAUAUGUAGGUGAGGUCCCUCGCGGAUGGAGCUGAAAUCAGUCGAAGAUACCAGCUGGCUGCAACUGUUUAUUAAAAACACAGCACUGUGCAAACACGAAAGUGGACGUAUACGGUGUGACGCCUGCCCGGUGCCGGAAGGUUAAUUGAUGGGGUUAGCGCAAGCGAAGCUCUUGAUCGAAGCCCCGGUAAACGGCGGCCGUAACUAUAACGGUCCUAAGGUAGCGAAAUUCCUUGUCGGGUAAGUUCCGACCUGCACGAAUGGCGUAAUGAUGGCCAGGCUGUCUCCACCCGAGACUCAGUGAAAUUGAACUCGCUGUGAAGAUGCAGUGUACCCGCGGCAAGACGGAAAGACCCCGUGAACCUUUACUAUAGCUUGACACUGAACAUUGAGCCUUGAUGUGUAGGAUAGGUGGGAGGCUUUGAAGUGUGGACGCCAGUCUGCAUGGAGCCGACCUUGAAAUACCACCCUUUAAUGUUUGAUGUUCUAACGUUGACCCGUAAUCCGGGUUGCGGACAGUGUCUGGUGGGUAGUUUGACUGGGGCGGUCUCCUCCUAAAGAGUAACGGAGGAGCACGAAGGUUGGCUAAUCCUGGUCGGACAUCAGGAGGUUAGUGCAAUGGCAUAAGCCAGCUUGACUGCGAGCGUGACGGCGCGAGCAGGUGCGAAAGCAGGUCAUAGUGAUCCGGUGGUUCUGAAUGGAAGGGCCAUCGCUCAACGGAUAAAAGGUACUCCGGGGAUAACAGGCUGAUACCGCCCAAGAGUUCAUAUCGACGGCGGUGUUUGGCACCUCGAUGUCGGCUCAUCACAUCCUGGGGCUGAAGUAGGUCCCAAGGGUAUGGCUGUUCGCCAUUUAAAGUGGUACGCGAGCUGGGUUUAGAACGUCGUGAGACAGUUCGGUCCCUAUCUGCCGUGGGCGCUGGAGAACUGAGGGGGGCUGCUCCUAGUACGAGAGGACCGGAGUGGACGCAUCACUGGUGUUCGGGUUGUCAUGCCAAUGGCACUGCCCGGUAGCUAAAUGCGGAAGAGAUAAGUGCUGAAAGCAUCUAAGCACGAAACUUGCCCCGAGAUGAGUUCUCCCUGACUCCUUGAGAGUCCUGAAGGAACGUUGAAGACGACGACGUUGAUAGGCCGGGUGUGUAAGCGCAGCGAUGCGUUGAGCUAACCGGUACUAAUGAACCGUGAGGCUUAACCUU
rnacentral:rRNA from 10 species